rnacentral:tRNA from 1 species
GUCCUAGUAGCUUACCACCAAAGCCCUGACCUUGUAAAUCAGAAACGGGUGCUACCACCCCUAAGACA